GUGAGAAUGAGUGAGGAGAGAAUGUGAGGUGUGUAUGAAGAUUGUGUGUGUGCGUGACAGGAGAGUGCAUGUGGUGUGUGUGAGAUAUGUAUGAGGUGUGUAUGAAGAUUGUGUGUGUGCGUGACAGGAGAGUGCAUGUGGUGUGUGUGAGAUAUGUAUGAGGUGUGUAUGAAGAUUGUGUGUGUGCGUGACAGGAGAGUGCAUGUGGUGUGUGUGAGAUAUGUGUGAGGUGUGUAUGAAGACUGUGUGUGUGCGUGACAGGAGAGUGCAUGUGGUGUGUGUGAGAUAUGUAUGAGGUGUGUAUGAAGAUUGUGUGUGUGCGUGACAGGAGAGUGCAUGUGGUGUGUGUGAGAUAUGUAUGAGGUGUGCAUGAAGACUGUGUGUGAGUGACAGGAGAGUGCAUGUGGUGUGUGUGAGAUAUGUGUGAGGUGUGUAUGAAGAUUGUGUGUGUGCAUGACAGGAGAGUGCAUGUGGUGUGUGUGAGAUAUGUACGAGGUGUGUAUGAAGA
ensembl:lncRNA